AAACAGCACGGUUGGCCAAUCCUGUGAGUCUUUCUGUUUGCCAUGAAGAAGCUAACUGCCUCUUUGACUCAUGGGACAGCGUAUUAUUUCCAAGAAAAAAACUGAGGUUCAUCUCCACAUGACUCUCUACUGUUAGCUGUCUUGACUCGAGCCGGCUGCAUCUUAUCACCAAGAACCAGAUGGUUCCACUUGUCUGAAUCUGAAGUCCACAGGGUUCCAUAGUCUUCAGCUGAGACUCUGCAGAGCAGAGUAUCCUGGCUGGCACUGGGUAUCUAUAUUUGACAAAUACUAGGUGGAGACCUUAUGCUAUCUGGAACAGGAGAAAUCCUCAGAGUGAAGAGUCUACUGGAAGACAACAGAAUCCCUUUUGUUCUGGCUGGAUGGGGUCUGAUGAAGGAGUACCUGCAGGAUACCUCAAGUCCUGAAAAGGGUGCAGCCAGCAAGACAUCGAAGUAAUGGAGAUACAUGAAUGUCACCAUACUCUGACACACAGCACAAUGGACUGCUGCUGAGCACGGGAAAGAAAGAAUUGCUGAUGUACACUAUGCUGUGGGCGAAGCUCCCGGACACUCUAUAGAACUGAAAUAAGGCAGACUCCAGACAUCCUUUAUGAUUUCUGUGUCAUAUUUGGGCCAAGAAAACUGAGCAGUGGUUGCCAGGGGCUGAGCGCCAAGGACUAUGAGAACCCUUUUGGGUCUCAGAACCACCCCACAUCUGGACUGUCGUGGUGAAUACCCUACUGUAGCACUAUCCAGAACUCACAGAGCUCUGUGUGAAGACGGUGAGUCACACGGCAUGCAAAUUGCACCUUGGUAGAAAGACAUGUUCAGAGUGAAGGCUUGGGAAUCAGGUUACAUUCAAACCUUGGCUCUUUGACAUUUUGGCCACAACCCCAAGAUACACAUUGUUUCUGAGACUUGUUUUCUUGGCUUGGAAAACAGAGCUAAUAAUGGUAGAGGCUGCUGGGGAAAGUGAAUAAAAUAAUGUACCCAAUUGUUUACUGUAAUGCCAGGCCAUUCCGGAACUCCAUAAAUAGUGGUUAUUACUACUUCCAUUCCUCAUUAAAGAGUAAGGAGAUGGUUAGGGGAAGAGAUUUCUAAAGGUUUCUCCUUUAAAUGGGAAAUAAGAGUUUUAUUGCAGAACUUA